rnacentral:lncRNA from 1 species
CAGAACUCAAUGACUAAAAGUGACAUGCAGAGAUGGUCCCAGUCAUGUGCCAUUCAUCAGGAGACAUGGAUGCUGUGCUGGGUGCUUGCGGCUGUCUAAUGAUGACGUCUGCCUGUUUCCUCAAGCUAGAGUGAAGGGGACCGUGCAGAAGAAAUCAGAAGCACUGAAGGACAGAUCAGGAAGCUGACCAAAGAUGGGCUGAUCAUCCAGAAGCCUGUGACUGUCCAUUCCCGGUCUUGCUGCCAGAAUACCAUCUUAGCCCGACGGAAGGGCAGGCAUAUAUGGGCAUAGGGAAGAGAAAGGGUACUGCCAAUGCUUGGAUGCCUGAGAAGGUGACCUGGAUGAGAAAGAUGAGGAUACUGCGCCGGCUUCUCACGAGAUACGGGGAAUCUAAGAAGAUUGGCCACCAUAUGUAUCACAGCCAAAGUCCAAGAUAUAUUUUCAUCAUUCCAAGUACCAACUCUACACUUCUUCUAUCUAAAAUCAAGAAAGGAUGA